rnacentral:rRNA from 1 species
CGGGUAAGUUCCGACCUGCACGAAUGGCGUAAUGAUGGCCAGGCUGUCUCCACCCGAGACUCAGUGAAAUUGAACUCGCUGUGAAGAUGCAGUGUACCCGCGGCAAGACGGAAAGACCCCGUGAACCUUUACUAUAGCUUGACACUGAACAUUGAGCCUUGAUGUGUAGGAUAGGUGGGAGGCUUUGAAGUGUGGACGCCAGUCUGCAUGGAGCCGACCUUGAAAUACCACCCUUUAAUGUUUGAUGUUCUAACGUGGACCCGUAAUCCGGGUUGCGGACAGUGUCUGGUGGGUAGUUUGACUGGGGCGGUCUCCUCCUAAAGAGUAACGGAGGAGCACGAAGGUUGGCUAAUCCUGGUCGGACAUCAGGAGGUUAGUGCAAUGGCAUAAGCCAGCUUGACUGCGAGCGUGACGGCGCGAGCAGGUGCGAAAGCAGGUCAUAGUGAUCCGGUGGUUCUGAAUGGAAGGGCCAUCGCUCAACGGAUAAAAGGUACUCCGGGGAUAACAGGCUGAUACCGCCCAAGAGUUCAUAUCGACGGCGGUGUUUGGCACCUCGAUGUCGGCUCAUCACAUCCUGGGGCUGAAGUAGGUCCCAAGGGUAUGGCUGUUCGCCAUUUAAAGUGGUACGCGAGCUGGGUUUAGAACGUCGUGAGACAGUUCGGUCCCUAUCUGCCGUGGGCGCUGGAGAACUGAGGGGGGCUGCUCCUAGUACGAGAGGACCGGAGUGGACGCAUCACUGGUGUUCGGGUUGUCAUGCCAAUGGCACUGCCCGGUAGCUAAAUGCGGAAGAGAUAAGUGCUGAAAGCAUCUAAGCACGAAACUUGCCCCGA